GCUGAUGUAGCUCAGUCGGUAGAGCAACUGAUUCGUAAUCAGUAGGUCGACGGUUCGAUUCCGCCCAUCAGCA
rnacentral:tRNA from 3 species